rnacentral:rRNA from 2 species
UAGGGAAUCUUCGGCAAUGGACGAAAGUCUGACCGAGCAACGCCGCGUGAGUUAAGAAGGUUUUCGGAUCGUAAAACUCUGUUGUUAGAGAAGAACAAGGACGUUAGUAACUGAACGUCCCCUGACGGUAUCUAACCAGAAAGCCACGGCUAACUACGUGCCAGCAGCCGCGGUAAUACGUAGGUGGCAAGCGUUGUCCGGAUUUAUUGGGCGUAAAGCGAGCGCAGGCGGUUUCUUAAGUCUGAUGUGAAAGCCCCCGGCUCAACCGGGGAGGGUCAUUGGAAACUGGGAGACUUGAGUGCAGAAGAGGAGAGUGGAAUUCCAUGUGUAGCGGUGAAAUGCGUAGAUAUAUGGAGGAACACCAGUGGCGAAGGCGGCUCUCUGGUCUGUAACUGACGCUGAGGCUCGAAAGCGUGGGGAGCAAACAGG